rnacentral:rRNA from 1 species
UACGUAGGGGGCAAGCGUUGUCCGGAAUCAUUGGGCGUAAAGAGCGUGUAGGCGGCCCGAUAAGUCCGCCGUGAAAGUCCAGGGCUCAACCCUGGAAUGCCGGUGGAAACUGUCGGGCUUGAGUCCGGAAGAGGCGAGUGGAAUUCCUGGUGUAGCGGUGAAAUGCGCAGAUAUCAGGAGGAACACCAAUGGCGAAGGCAGCUCGCUGGGACGGUACUGACGCUGAGACGCGAAAGCGUGGGGAGCAAACAGG